AGAGUUUGAUCCUGGCUCAGGACGAACGCUGGCGGCGUGCUUAACACAUGCAAGUCGAACGGUGAAGUCCCUUCGGGGGCGGAUCAGUGGCGAACGGGUGAGUAACACGUGGGCAAUCUGCCCCUCACUGUGGGAUAACUCCGGGAAACCGGGGCUAAUACCGCAUAUGAAGCCUGGCGGCAUCGCCGGGUUUGGAAAGUUUUUCGGUGAGGGAUGAGCCCGCGGCCUAUCAGCUUGUUGGUGAGGUAAUGGCUCACCAAGGCGACGACGGGUAGCCGGCCUGAGAGGGCGACCGGCCACACUGGGACUGAGACACGGCCCAGACUCCUACGGGAGGCAGCAGUGGGGAAUAUUGGGCAAUGGGCGAAAGCCUGACCCAGCGACGCCGCGUGCGGAUGGAAGGCCUUCGGGUUGUAAACCGCUUUCAGCAGGGAAGAAGCGAAA
rnacentral:rRNA from 1 species